AGCAGCCGCGGUAAUUCCAGCUCCAAUAGCGUAUAUUAAAGUUGCUGCAGUUAAAAAGCUCGUAGUUGAAUUUCGGAAUCAAUAUGUUGGUCGUGCCUUGGUACGUACUAAUUUAUUGGUUUCUUCCUUCUGACGAACCAUGAUGUCAUUAAUUUGGUGUCUUGGGGAAUCAGGACUGUUACUUUGAAAAAAUUAGAGUGUUUAAAGCAGGCUCACGCUUGAAUACAUUAGCAUGGAAUAAUGAAAUAGGACGUUUGAUUCUAUUUUGUUGGUUUCUAGGAUCGACGUAAUGAUUAAUAGGGAUAGUUGGGGGCAUUAGUAUUCAAUUGUCAGAGGUGAAAUUCUUGGAUUUAUUGAAGACUAACUACUGCGAAAGCAUUUGCCAAGGAUGUUUUCAUUAAUCAAGAACGAAAGUUAGGGGAUCGAAGACGAUCAGAUACCGUCGUAGUC
rnacentral:rRNA from 1 species